rnacentral:rRNA from 1 species
GGAAAGGCGCGCGAUACAGGGUGACAGCCCCGUACACAAAAAUGCACAUGCUGUGAGCUCGAUGAGUAGGGCGGGACACGUGGUAUCCUGUCUGAAUAUGGGGGGACCAUCCUCCAAGGCUAAAUACUCCUGACUGACCGAUAGUGAACCAGUACCGUGAGGGAAAGGCGAAAAGAACCCCGGCGAGGGGAGUGAAAAAGAACCUGAAACCGUGUACGUACAAGCAGUGGGAGCACGCUUAGGCGUGUGACUGCGUACCUUUUGUAUAAUGGGUCAGCGACUUAUAUUCUGUAGCAAGGUUAACCGAAUAGGGGAGCCGAAGGGAAACCGAGUCUUAACUGGGCGUUAAGUUGCAGGGUAUAGACCCGAAACCCGGUGAUCUAGCCAUGGGCAGGUUGAAGGUUGGGUAACACUAACUGGAGGACCGAACCGACUAAUGUUGAAAAAUUAGCGGAUGACUUGUGGCUGGGGGUGAAAGGCCAAUCAAACCGGGAGAUAGCUGGUUCUCCCCGAAAGCUAUUUAGGUAGCGCCUCGUGAAUUCAUCUCCGGGGGUAGAGCACUGUUUCGGCAAGGGGGUCAUCCCGACUUACCAACCCGAUGCAAACUGCGAAUACCGGAGAAUGUUAUCACGGGAGACACACGGCGGGUGCUAACGUCCGUCGUGAAGAGGGAAACAACCCAGACCGCCAGCUAAGGUCCCAAAGUCAUGGUUAAGUGGGAAACGAUGUGGGAAGGCCCAGACAGCCAGGAUGUUGGCUUAGAAGCAGCCAUCAUUUAAAGAAAGCGUAAUAGCUCACUGGUCGAGUCGGCCUGCGCGGAAGAUGUAACGGGGCUAAACCAUGCACCGAAGCUGCGGCAGCGACGCUGAUGCGUUGUUGGGUAGGGGAGCGUUCUGUAAGCCUGCGAAGGUGUGCUGUGAGGCAUGCUGGAGGUAUCAGAAGUGCGAAUGCUGACAUAAGUAACGAUAAAGCGGGUGAAAAGCCCGCUCGCCGGAAGACCAAGGGUUCCUGUCCAACGUUAAUCGGGGCAGGGUGAGUCGACCCCUAAGGCGAGGCCGAAAGGCGUAGUCGAUGGGAAACAGGUUAAUAUUCCUGUACU